GAUUAACGCUAGCGGAAGGCAUAAUACAUGCAAGUCGAACGGGAUAGAACUUAGCAAUAGGUUCUUGAGAGUGGCGCACGGGUGCGUAACACGUAUGCAACCUACCUUUAACUGGGGGAUAGCCUCUCGAAAGAGAGAUUAAUACCCCAUAACAUAUUGAAUAAGCAUUUAUAUAAUAUUAAAGAUUUAUCGGUUAAAGAUGGGCAUGCGGCUGAUUAGGUAGUUGGUGAGGUAACGGCUCACCAAGCCAACGAUCAGUAGGGGGUCUGAGAGGAUGUCCCCCCACACUGGUACUGAGACACGGACCAGACUCCUACGGGAGGCAGCAGUAGGGAAUAUUGGACAAUGGGGGCAACCCUGAUCCAGCCAUUCCGCGUGCAGGAAUAAGGCCCUAUGGGUCGUAAACUGCUUUUGUAUGGGAAAAAAUCAUCUUACGUGUAGGAUGUUGAUGGUACCAUGAGAAUAAGGAUCGGCUAACUUCGUGCCAGCCGCCGCGGUAA
rnacentral:rRNA from 1 species